AAGAGGAGUGUCUGUUGCUAGCGGAGCUAGUUGCGGCCAACAGAGUGGUGCUUGAGGGCAAGUUUGGGCCUGGCAUCACCUCCGUGAAACGACAGGAGGCGUGGCAGAUGAUUACAGACACCCUCAAUUCAAGCAUCACCCACAAGAGGACCAGGGAUGAGGUGGAAA